rnacentral:rRNA from 1 species
UGGAGAGUUUGAUCCUGGCUCAGAUUGAACGCUAGCGGCAUGCCUUACACAUGCAAGUCGAACGGCAGCGCGGGCUUCGGCUGGCGGCGAGUGGCGAACGGGUGAGUAAUGCAUCGGAACGUACCCAGUAGCGGGGGAUAACUACGCGAAAGCGUAGCUAAUACCGCAUACGCCCUACGGGGGAAAGGGGGGGAUCGCAAGACCUCUCACUAUUGGAGCGGCCGAUGUCGGAUUAGCUAGUUGGUGGGGUAAAGGCCUACCAAGGCGACGAUCCGUAGCUGGUUUGAGAGGACGACCAGCCACACUGGGACUGAGACACGGCCCAGACUCCUACGGGAGGCAGCAGUGGGGAAUUUUGGACAAUGGGGGCAACCCUGAUCCAGCCAUGCCGCGUGUGCGAAGAAGGCCUUCGGGUUGUAAAGCACUUUUGGCGGGAAAGAAACGGCGCCGGCUAAUACCUGGCGUAACUGACGGUACCCGCAGAAUAAGCACCGGCUAACUACGUGCCAGCAGCCGCGGUA